rnacentral:tRNA from 1 species
UCAAUAGAUAGUUUAAAAAAAAUAUUAGUUUUGGAGACUAAUGAUAUAUAAUUUUCUGUUG